rnacentral:rRNA from 1 species
UACGUAGGGUGCGAGCGUUAAUCGGAAUUACUGGGCGUAAAGUGUGCGCAGGUGGCCGCGCAAGUCGAGUGUGAAAUCCCCGGGCUUAACUUGGGAAUUGCGCUCGAAACUACGUGGCUCGAGUGUGGCAGAGGAAGGUGGAAUUCCACGUGUAGCGGUGAAAUGCGUAGAGAUGUGGAGGAACACCGGUGGCGAAGGCGGCUUCCUGGACCGACACUGACGCUGAGGCGCGAAAGCUAGGGGAGCAAACGGG